ACUGGGUGUGUUGGCAUAUACCUGUAAUCCGUGAAACUGAAGAAGCCAAGGCUGGUGGAUUUCUUGAGUUUGGGAGUUCUGAGGUGCAGUAGAACUAAUGCCAAUCAGGUGUCUACAUUAAAUAUGUCACUGAUAUGGUGAUCCCCUGGAAGCUGGGGAUACCAGUUUGCCUAAGGACAGUUAAAUAGGCCCAGGUUGGAAUUGGAGCAGUUCAAAACUUCCAUGAUGAUCAGAAUGGUAUCUAGCCUAUGACUAGUCAUUGCACUUUCAGCCAGGGAAAGAUAGAGGGAUCUAGUGUCC
rnacentral:SRP_RNA from 1 species